UAGGGAAUCUUCCGCAAUGGACGCAAGUCUGACGGAGCAACGCCGCGUGAGUGAAGAAGGAUUUCGGUUCGUAAAACUCUGUUGUUAGAGAAGAACAGCGCAUAGAGUAACUGUUAUGCGUGUGACGGUAUCUAACCAGAAAGCCACGGCUAACUACGUGCCAGCAGCCGCGGUAAUACGUAGGUCCCGAGCGUUGUCCGGAUUUAUUGGGCGUAAAGCGCGCGUAGGCGGUUUUUUAAGUCUGAUGUGAAAGCCCACGGCUCAACCGUGGAGGGUCAUUGGAAACUGGAAAACUUGAGUGCAGAAGAGGAAAGUGGAAUUCCAUGUGUAGCGGUGAAAUGCGCAGAGAUAUGGAGGAACACCAGUGGCGAAGGCGACUUUCUGGUCUGUAACUGACGCUGAUGUGCGAAAGCGUGGGGAUCAAACAGG
rnacentral:rRNA from 1 species